rnacentral:misc_RNA from 1 species
AGUGGAUGGAGAAGAUGAAAUUGAGGAUAAAGACGGUGGGACCGAACAUACCGUCGAUGUAUGCCGAUGGGCGAAUAGACGACGAUGGGGAGUAUGGGUUCAACUUCUUCAAACCCAAAGAUGAGGUUUGCCGGAAAUGGCUCGACGUCCAUCGGGAAGCGUCGGUGGUUUUCGUGGCGUUUGGGAGUUUUUCAAGUUUGAGCGUUGAGCAGAUGGAGGAAUUGGCUUGGGGCUUGGCACAAAGCAAUUUUUUCUUCUUGUGGGUGGUAAGGUCAGAGGAGAUGGCAAAG